CUAGCGACAGGCUUAACACAUGCAAGUCGAGGGGCAGCACAGGUAGCAAUACCGGGUGGCGACCGGCGCACGGGUGAGUAACGCGUAUGCAACUUACCUAUCAGAGGGGGAUAACCCGGCGAAAGUCGGACUAAUACCGCAUGAAGCAGGGGCCCCGCAUGGGGAUAUUUGCUAAAGAUUCAUCGCUGAUAGAUAGGCAUGCGUUCCAUUAGGCAGUUGGCGGGGUAACGGCCCACCAAACCGACGAUGGAUAGGGGUUCUGAGAGGAAGGUCCCCCACAUUGGUACUGAGACACGGACCAAACUCCUACGGGAGGCAGCAGUGAGGAAUAUUGGUCAAUGGCCGAGAGGCUGAACCAGCCAAGUCGCGUGAGGGAUGAAGGUUCUAUGGAUCGUAAACCUCUUUUAUAAGGGAAUAAAGUGCGGGACGUGUCCCGUUUUGUAUGUACCUUAUGAAUAAGGAUCGGCUAACUCCGUGCCAGCAGCCGCGGUAAUACGGAGGAUCCGAGCGUUAUCCGGAUUUAUUGGGUUUAAAGGGUGCGUAGGCGGCCUUUUAAGUCAGCGGUGAAAGUCUGUGGCUCAACCAUAGAAUUGCCGUUGAAACUGGGGGGCUUGAGUAUGUUUGAGGCAGGCGGAAUGCGUGGUGUAGCGGUGAAAUGCAUAGAUAUCACGCAGAACCCCGAUUGCGAAGGCAGCCUGCCAAGCCAUUACUGACGCUGAUGCACGAAAGCGUGGGGAUCAAACAGGAUUAGAUACCCUGGUAGUCCACGCAGUAAACGAUGAUCACUAGCUGUUUGCGAUACACUGUAAGCGGCACAGCGAAAGCGUUAAGUGAUCCACCUGGGGAGUACGCCGGCAACGGUGAAACUCAAAGGAAUUGACGGGGGCCCGCACAAGCGGAGGAACAUGUGGUUUAAUUCGAUGAUACGCGAGGAACCUUACCCGGGUUUGAACGCAUUCGGACCGAGGUGGAAACACCUUUUCUAGCAAUAGCCGUUUGCGAGGUGCUGCAUGGUUGUCGUCAGCUCGUGCCGUGAGGUGUCGGCUUAAGUGCCAUAACGAGCGCAACCCUUGCCACUAGUUACUAACAGGUAAAGCUGAGGACUCUGGUGGGACUGCCAGCGUAAGCUGCGAGGAAGGCGGGGAUGACGUCAAAUCAGCACGGCCCUUACAUCCGGGGCGACACACGUGUUACAAUGGCGUGGACAAAGGGAAGCCACCUGGCGACAGGGAGCGAAUCCCCAAACCACGUCUCAGUUCGGAUCGGAGUCUGCAACCCGACUCCGUGAAGCUGGAUUCGCUAGUAAUCGCGCAUCAGCCAUGGCGCGGUGAAUACGUUCCCGGGCCUUGUACACACCGCCCGUCAAGCCAUGGGAGCCGGGGGUACCUGAAGUCCGUAACCGCGAGGAUCGGCCUAGGGUAAAACUGGUGACUGGGG
rnacentral:rRNA from 1 species